GCUACUGCCAUCAGAGUUCGAUUAAGCCAUGUUAGUCGAGGGUACCUCUUCUUCUUCGGAGGAUGAGGUAACCCGGCGGACGGCUCAGUAACACGUGGAUAACUUGCCCUUGGGUCUGGGAUAACCCCUGGGAAACUGGGGCUAAUACCGGAUAGAGCAUCGAUCGCUGGAAUGCAUGAUGCUCGAAAACUACGGUGCCCAAGGAUAGGUCUGCGGCUGAUUAGGUUGUUGUUGAUGUAAUGGACCAACAAGCCUACGAUCGGUACGGGUUGUGAGAGCAAUAGCCCGGAGAUGGGUUCUGAGAAAAGAACCCAGGUCCUACGGGACGCAUCAGGCGCGAAAACUUUACAAUGUGCGAAAGCACGAUAAGGGAACUCUGAGUGCCCCCUAAGGGGGCUGUUCUAGUGUCUAAAAAGCAAUAGAAGUAAGGGCUGGGCAAGACCGGUGCCAGCCGCCGCGGUAACACCGGCAGCCCAAGUGGUAGCCACGUUUAUUGGGUCUAAAGCGUUCGUAGCCGGCUUGGUAAGUUCCUUGGUAAAUUUAGCCGCUUAACGGUUAAGCUUUCAGGGAAUACUGCUUGGCUUGGGACUGGGAGAGGUCAGAGGUACUCCAGGGGUAGGGGUGAAAUCCAUUAAUCCUUGGGGGACCACCGGUAGCGAAGGCGUCUGACCAGACCAGCUCCGACGGUGAGGGACGAAGGCUAGGGGCGCGAACCGGAUUAGAUACCCGGGUAGUCCUAGCUGUAAACGAUGCGGGCUAGGUGUUGGCAUUACUGCGAGUGGUGCCAGUGCCGAAGGGAAGCCGUUAAGCUCGCCAUCUGGGGAGUACGGUCGCAAGGCUUAAACUUAAAGGAAUUGGCGGGGGAGCACCACAACGGGUGGAGCCUGCGGUUC
rnacentral:rRNA from 1 species